GUGCCAGCAGCCGCGGGAAUUAAGCUCCAAUAGCGUAUAUUAAAGUUGUUGUGGAUAAAAAUUUCUAAGAUGAACCUUGGGCCUGGCUGGCCGGUCCGCCUCACCGCGUGCACUGGUCCGGCCGGGCCUUUCCCUCUGUGGAACCCCAUACCCUUCACUGGGCGUGGCGGGGAAACAGGACAUUUACUUUGAAAAAAUUAGAGUGCUCCAGGCAGGCCUAUGCUCGAAUACAUUAGCAUGGAAUAAUAAAAUAGGACGCGCGGUUCUAUUUUGUUGGUUUAUAGGACCGCCGUAAUGAUUAAUAGGGACAGUCGGGGGCAUCAGUAUUCAACUGUCAGAGGUGAAAUUCUUGGAUCAGUUGAAGACUAACUACUGCGAAAGCAUUUGCCACGGACGGUUUCAUUAAUCAGGAACGAAAGUUAGGGGAUUGAAGACGAUCAGAUACCGUCGUAGUCUUAACCCAUAAACCUAUGCCGACUUGGGAUCGGACGGUGUUUAUUUCAUGGACCCGGUCCGGCACCCUUACCUAGAAAUCCAAAAGGCCUUGGGCUCCCCGGGGGAGUAUGGGGCCGCCAAGGCUGGAACUUAAAGAAAUUGUACGGGAAGGGCCCCCAACAAGGGGGGGAGGCCUGCUGGCUUAAAUUUUGACUCCACUCGGGGAACUUCACCUGGGCCCCGAAACAAUAAAAAAUUGCCAGGAUUAGGAGCUCUUCUCGUUGAUUUUUUGAGUGUGGGAGGCGACAAGGCCCCACUCAUUAAGUGGGUGGAGUACGAAUUCGUCCUGCUAUAACCUGUCGGAAUAACGAAACGGAGAACCUCAUGACUCCGUCCAUAAAUAGGGCCCCGCGACUUUGGGCUC
rnacentral:rRNA from 1 species